GCUUUCCCUUGUGCUUGAUCUAACCAUGUGCUUGCUCCGAACGCGAAAACAACAUGGUUCCUUCAAGCACCAGGGACGGCC
ensembl:miRNA mir218a-1 microRNA 218-2